AGCUGACGAGCGACUUGUGGAUCCUUGUCUGAAGUGCGAUUGGUUGCCCAAGCCCGGCUAGCGACCAGACGUCAGUAGGAUACGGUGAUGCAGGUGUGCUUCGAGGCAUGUYGGAUUCAAUAAUUUAUUUGUUACUUUCGCAUCGUUCGGUGCAUUCUGGGGACUGUUUUGGCUUUUGGUUGCUUGCUUGGCUUUUUGCUGGGUGGGUCGCUACUAGUUGGGCGGUUGGUGUUUGGUUUGUUACGGGUGGUUGGCUGUCUGCUUGCGCAGCAACGUCCACGCGUGCAUACCUCUUCAGUUUUGCGACAAGGCUUUGUUUGUCUUGAGCAUAUUGUGGGUUUCCUGUGUUGCAUACCUAAUCGAUGGUAAAGUGUGGGUUUUAUGAUGUCCCUUUUCGUCAUGCGUCGCUCAUGCGGCGUGGGAUGAACAUUGAAGCGGUCUUUGUGAUCCACAUUGUUGUUGCAUUUGCAACGAUGAUGUGGCCUAUGAAGCAUCGUUUGGUCUCUUGUAUACGGAACCUGAUGUGGGCAUGGAUCUUAUUAGAUCUUGAAUCUGCCCUCGUUAAGCGUUCUCGCUUCUCCAAAACGAUUGUCUGCCAUGUCUYGGCUUGCCUUGGCAUGGUGGGCUACGUCGA
rnacentral:misc_RNA from 1 species